CUGCAGUUGGGCAGGGCUGGGCACAGGGACAGAGAUGCUAAGGGGGAAGAUGUGGCUCCCCGGAGGUGCCAGGGACACACCCCCGCAGGCGGGCAGGGCUGGGCACUGGGACAGUGACGCUAAGGAGGACGAUGUGGCUCCCCGGAGGUGCCAGGGACACACCCCCGCAGGCGGGCAGGGCUGGGCAUAGGGACAGAGAUGCUAAGGGGGACGAUGUGGCUCCCCGGAGGUGCCAGGGACACACUCCCGCAGGCAGGCAGGGCUGGGCACUGGGACAGAGACGCUAAGGGGGAAGAUGCGGCUCCCCGGGGGUGCCAGGGACACACUCCCGCAGGCGGGCAGGGCUGGGCCCCGGGACAGAGACGCUAAGGGGGAAGAUGCGGC